rnacentral:ncRNA from 1 species
AACUGCGAUACCGGACGACUCCACUUUUCUCGUCCGGCAGCGCUAAUAAAAAGGAGGCGUGUUUUUUCCGUAUCGGCUUGCGGUACAGCAGUGUGGAGACCUGCUGUAAUGCCACGGCCACAUAAGCGGGCGGUGGCGAGCUGCGCAGUUAGCAGAUGCUGUGCGCGGUAAAGCCGUGGUAUAUGGCA